rnacentral:rRNA from 1 species
CCUACGGGUGGCAGCAGUAGGGAAUAUUGCGCAAUGAGGGAAACCCUGACGCAGCAACGCCGCGUGGAGGAUGAAGGUUUUCGGAUUGUAAACUCCUUUUGUUAGAGAAGAUAAUGACGGUAUCUAACGAAUAAGCACCGGCUAACGCCGUGCCAGCAGCCGCGGUAAUACGGAGGGUGCAAGCGUUACUCGGAAUCACUGGGCGGAAAGAGCGCGUAGGCGGGAUAGCAAGGCAGAUGUGAAAUCCUAUGGCUUAACCAUAGAACUGCAUUUGAAACUGUUAUUCUAGAGUAUGGGAGAGGUAGGCGGAAUUCUUGGUGUAGGGGUAAAAUCCGUAGAGAUCAAGAGGAAUACUCAUUGCGAAGGCGACCUGCUAGAACAUAACUGACGCUGAUGAGCGAAAGCGUGGGGAGCAAACAGGAUUAGAUACCCUAGUAGUC